GGAGACGUGCCAGAGCCUGGUCGAUUGGGUGGGAUUCAGGAUCCCAUGCGGACAGCCGCCUCGCAGGUCCAAAUCCUGCCGUCUCCACCA
rnacentral:tRNA from 1 species